UACAGAGGUGGCAAUCGUUGUUCGGAAUUACUGGGCGUAAAGGGCGCGUAGGCGGUUCGUUAAGUCCUGUGUGAAAUCCCUCGGCUCAACUGGGGAACUGCACAGGAAACUAGCGGGCUUGAGGACUGGAGAGGAGACUGGAAUUCAUGGUGUAGCAGUGAAAUGCGUAGAGAUCAUGAGGAAGACCAGUGGCGAAGGCGGGUCUCUGGACAGUUCCUGACACUGAGACACGAAGGCCAGGGGAGCAAACGGG
rnacentral:rRNA from 1 species